CCGAGUUCCCGAGACUCCCAACACCCCCUGCGAACCCUACCCAUACGUUGCUUCGGCGGGACCGCCCCGGGCCCCAGGCCCGGAACCAGGCGCCCGCCGGAGGCCCCCAAACCCUCCCGUUUCCGCCCCCGGAAUCCUUCUGAGCGGCGCCCCAGCGGCGCGAGAAAAACGAAUGAAUCA
rnacentral:misc_RNA from 1 species